rnacentral:rRNA from 1 species
GCUACGGGUGGCAGCAGUGGGGGAUAUUGGACAAUGGGGGCAACCCUGACCCAGCAACGCCGCGUGAGGGAAGAAGGAUUUCGGGUUGUAAAGCUCUGUUGACAGGGAAGAGUAGAAUGCCGGACCCGGCGAAUAAGCCACGGCUAACUACGGGCCAGGCGCCGCGGUAAUACGGUAGGGGGAAGCGGUAUCCGGAUUUACUGGGGGUAAAGGGCGUGUAGAAGGGUGGACAAGUCAGGUGUUAAAUGCUGCGGCUUAACCCCCGAACGGCAUUGGAAACUGUUGAUCUUGAGUGCUGGAGAGGUAAGCGGAAUUCCUAGUGUAGCGGUGAAAUGCGUAGAUAUUAGGAGGAACACCAGUGGCGAAGGCGGUCUGCUGGACAGUAACUGACGUUGAGGCGCGAAAGCGUGGGGAGCAAACAGGAUUAGAUACCCGUGUAGUC